UUCGAAAACGCUUUGCUGCUCUUCUGGAAUUUCCCCUCCCUACAGAAAAGUUAUUUCUCCCUUCUGCGGUGUCGUUUUCACCAGGUGACCUCUGUCGCAGCCUCAAGGGGGCCGCGAACCAGCAGCCCCCACUGCCGGCGUCCUGCUUUCGUGGGAAGCUACCGACCGGCGCCUUGGGGCGGCCCAUUCUGGGGGGAGGAAGAGCAGGUCCCCUCCCUGCCCUGCAACGCCAAAGAGGAGCCCAGCUCCUGCAAUUCCGUUAGCGGCGCCGCGGCUGUUGGGCACCUCCGAGGCGCGUCGGCGUCCUGGUUGGCUGCAUGGGCACCUCCAGGCGUGGAGCCCGCUGCGCGCUUUCCUUGGCGGGGAGAAAGAGGCGGUUUGCUGCUUUCCAGGCAGUUCGCUCUGCCACUGAGCCGUGGCCUUGGGCACAGGGGAACACCGAAACCCUGCCAGCCUCGCGUUUUCCUCCUGCCGCCACGGACCCUCCUUUUCUCUGCUGAGCUCCCGGCCAGCCCCGCUGAACCUGGGUCGCCCGGCCCCGCUCUGAAUUUCGCCUUCCCUGGGGGCAGGGGGGCUGUGGGUUUGGCUGGACGCCCAGCGAAGGACUUGGCUGCUCUCCGUGGGCACGGCCCGGAUCCCCAGGCCCCCGGCAGCAGCUGCCCCGCGGAGGACUUCUGUUACAAGGUGGCCAGACGGGGCUUGGGAAGGGGGAGGCAGCAACGUUGUCCAGCGAGCGAGGGGGACGAGGUGCUCUGGCGCGAGCAGCCGGCGGCCAAAGGGCGCUCCGGCGGCGGCUCCUGGUCCACACACCCCCAAAGCUGGGGACGAUCCUGGGCGAAGGAGACCCCGCCGGCUCGCGGGAAAGCUAGUCCUCGUCGAUCCAGCCCGCGGGCACUUGGGUCGCAAGCUGCGCGAUGGGACGGGAUCCAUCUCGGAGCACAUGGAUCGGAUUCGGGUUCGAAAUCGUCCGCGCAACUCUUGAUGAUGCGUCUCACCCGGUUACUCGCGCAGAUUGGGGUCGGGCCGGGGAGGGGGGUCGCGUAA
rnacentral:lncRNA from 1 species